GGGCUAGAAGGAGUUGCAGAGGUCAUCCAUAAGACAGAGGACAGCAAGUUGUUCCAUCUGGAUAUACUAGAGAGUAACAGAUCCCUGGGGAAUGGCUGCUGGAGUGCGUGGCUGAGACAAAGUUCUUCUGGGAACUGCUUUGUGAUGUCAACACCAGCAGACAUUUUUGGAAAUGAAGAAAGAAAUUAGUCAAGAAAUUAAAGUCAAAACAAAUCUAAUA